GAUGAACGCUAGCGAUAGGCUUAACACAUGCAAGUCGAGGGGCAGCACAAGGUAGCUUGCUAUCUGGGUGGCGACCGGCGCACGUGUGCGUAACGCGUAUACAACUUGCCCUAUACAGGAGGAUAACCCGUCGAAAGACGGACUAAUACUGCGUAUGCUCACAACUUGGCAUCAAGUGGUGAGGAAAGAAAUUCGGUAUAGGAUAGGCAUGCGUCCCAUUAGCUUGUUGGUGAGGUAACGGCUCACCAAGGCAACGAUGGGUAGGGGAACUGAGAGGUUUGUCCCCCACACUGGUACCGAGACCCGGGCCAGACUGCUACGGGAGGCAGCAGUAAGGAAUAUUGGUCAAUGGGCGCGAGCCUGAACAAGCCAAGUCGCGUGAAGGAUGACUGUCUUAUGGAUUGUAAACUUCUUUUAUACGGGAAUAACAAGAGUCACGUGUGACUCCCUGACUGUACCGUAUGAAUAAGCAUCGGCUAACUACGUG
rnacentral:rRNA from 1 species